GGAUGUAAAAGUCGUAACAAGGUUUCCGUAGGUGAACCUGCGGAAGGAUCAUUAUUGUAUAACCGAGGUGCGAGGGCUGUCGCUGACCCGAAAGGUCGUGCACGCCCGAGUGCCCUCACACACAUCCAUCUCACCCCUAUGUGCACCACCGCGUGGGUCCCCCUUUGGCUUGUUCGGAGGGGGGCUUACGCUUUCACACAAACUUUGUAUGCAGUGUAGAAUGUAUUUUUUGUUUUUGCGAUCACGCAAUCAAUACAACUUUCAACAACGGAUCUCUUGGCUCUC
rnacentral:misc_RNA from 1 species